rnacentral:rRNA from 1 species
UACGUAGGGUGCGAGCGUUGUCCGGAAUUACUGGGCGUAAAGAGCUCGUAGGCGGUCUGUCGCGUCGGCUGUGAAAACCUGGGGCUCAACCCCAGGCCUGCAGUCGAUACGGGCAGACUAGAGUCCGGCAGGGGAGACUGGAAUUCCUGGUGUAGCGGUGAAAUGCGCAGAUAUCAGGAGGAACACCGGUGGCGAAGGCGGGUCUCUGGGCCGAUACUGACGUGAGGAGCGAAAGCGUGGGGAGCGAACAGG